AUGAAUCAAUUCCGUUCCACCGACUAUAAAUCCCCUGAUAUAUUUCCUUCUGGUUUUGAGUAAUGCAUAUUUCUGUAGUCCUUAUCCUCACCAGUCACCUGGCUUAUCUUCCACUUCCAUGGAGAGUGUUGACCAAGCUAUGCCGAAAUUUAAGGUAAGAUAUUGCUUAAUCAUUGUUUAAAUGCUUCUGCCAUUCUUUUCAUGAUGUUACAUUACAGUUAAUAAGAAUUGUUUAAUAUGUGAAUCAGGAAGGCAAAACUUUACUCAUGCUUCUUCAGUUAUGGAUCAUGAGAUGUGGUCAGUUUCAAUUGCAAAUCAGUUUCUGCCAUAAUGUCCUCUCUGGGUCGCAAAUUUGAUUGUUUCUUUUUCUUCCUUCUUCAGUAACUUGUGUAACUUGUUUGGUCUGCUGAAAUAAAAUGUUUAAUGACUAUCAUCUAUCUGAUAUUUUGUAUUUGAUUUAAAUACUUAUUCACCUUAUUAAUUUAUAUUGCGUUUCAUUGAAAGCUCUAGAAUAAUUGGCUGCAUUUUAACGAACUUUUGUAUCCGACGUUGUUAGUUAAGCUUUCACUAAGUAAAAUGUGUGGCUCCUAAUAUUGAUGGAACUUGUCUCAUGAAAUAUUUGGUAAUGAUUCGCAUAUAUCAAAUAUUUGGUGUCAUGUUUGAAACAUUCAUAAUUGUGUAUUUUCAUGCAAUUGCAACUACAUUUUAGGCUCCUUAAUAAUUAAGUAGUUAACAUAAAUUUAUGUUCGGUAAAUCCAACUCAAUUGAUAGAAGGCCGAAGAGGCUUCAACUCCAACACCCUUCUUUUUCUUUUUACUUGAGGUGUGGGUUUUGAAAUUAAAUUUUUUAAUCAAGGUAAAAUGGGUUUGAACAAAUAAAUUGAAUUUCAACCGUUAUUAUUAAAGUAAUUUUAAUAAAAUAAAUUAUAAAUUUAUAAUAUUUGAAUUAUUUUAAAUAAUUUUUUUUUUAAAUGUUGAUUUAUUUAAUUUUAGUGUUUUGUUUUAAAUCUUAUGUUUUGUGGUGAUGUGCUUUAGUAAAUUAUGUCUUUUUCACUUUUGUUUUUGUUUUAAUUUUCCAGUGUCAGGGAUAGUUUCCGUGGUUCGCUUAAAUCAGUGAGAUUGUGGACGAAAUUUUUAGGGUUUGGAAUCGGUGAAAGAGAUCUAUUUUGCGACAGUGAAGUUUUUGUACUUUCUUGCUUGUUUCUGAUACCUUGUAUUGUGGCAUUGAGAAUUUGAGAUCUAGUUUUUUUUUUUUUUUGUGUGUGUGUGACUAUGGAGACACUUGUUGUUGUUGACCAGCAUAAGAAUCAAUACUGUAGCAGAUCUAAGUCACAAGGCCAUGGUAGAUUUGGAUCUUCACCUUCAAAACAAUUUAGAGGGAUUAACUGUAGGACUUUUCAAUCUGAUUCAGGUAUAUUACCAACUCCUUUGAAAUCUCAGAGUUUUCAUGAAACUAAAACACCAACAUCUCCUGUUACUGAAAACCCUAAUAGGAAAAAAACUAGUCCUAAGAGCUCCCCGAUUCCGAUUAAUGGUAAAACUUGUAGAAAAGAGACAACUUUCAGUGGAGAUUUAUGCUGUGGAAGCUUUUUGCUAUCUGAGUUAUGGGCUGGACCUACAUAUUCAAAUUCGCCACCACCUAGUUCUCUGCCGAUUCCUAAGUUUUCUGUGAGACCGAAGAGGACUGUGUCUCUUGAUCUUCCUGAUUCCUCUCCUGAGAUUGAAUUGCGCCCGAUGGCUAAGUCUGCACCCUCUUCUCCGACCAGGGAGCGAUUGUGUUUUACAAGGGAUCUCUUUGUGAAUGCUGAUUCUGCUACUGAGACCCUUCGUCGGAUUCUCAAUCUCGACAUCAAUGAUGAAUGAAACUUAAGGAGCAAUGCACUCCUGUAAAUAAGUGUUUUCAAUGAAAGUAGGUUUGUGUUAUGUUAGAUGUAUAUAAAGGUUCUGUAGAAUUUGUAGUGUGAGUUGGUUUGAGUUUGUGUAGCUUUUAGUUGUGGCAAUUAUGCACUUGAUGAUUUUGGCUUUAGUGGGUCGACAAUCUCUAGAUUUUGGAAAUGGAUCAAGGUUGGCAGUGGAGAGGGUUAUUGGGUUUGUGCCGGAGGAAUUGGUUGAAAGCAGGCUUUGGUAUGGGUCUUGAGACUUGACGGAAGCUUCCAUGAAAAUGAUUAUGAAGCAAAUUGAUGGUAAUGGUAGGAGUGUGUGGAAUUGACUUGGGUUGACGGUGGUUAUGGGACCUGAAGAAGGUCUGGUAUGGGUCUUGAGAGUUGAUGGAAGCUUCCAUGAAAAUGAUUCGGAAGCAGGGCGAUGGUAACAGUAGGAGUAGCAUGGAACUGACUUGGGUUGACGGCGUCUAUUAGACCUGAAGAAGGUUACAUACAAGCUGAAUCCUGAACUUAUAAUAUAUUGUUAGCACUCAUCAUAAGCUUUUUUCUCAUAUAAUGGUUAACAUUACUUUACUCUGAUAUAGGAUAUAUAGGCAUCUCGCAUUAGAUACGAUGUACAAACUGUAGAAUCUUGUCCUUACAAAAAAACCCUUAGGUCUCUCCUCUCUUUCUUUCUAAGCUUUUCUGGGUUUUUUUCUUAGCAUCAUCUUUAAUCAUUCUCACUUCUAUCCUUAUUUUACUUUCUUUUCUGAGACAUUUAACUGUGUUUAUCACUGUCAUUUCAGUUGAUUAGAUGAUAUGCAGUUUGCUAGUUACUUCCUUCCCUAUAUUUGUUUCUACCUUCCCUAUCAGUCUUUUCAUAUCUUCCAGUCAUCUUUCUUUCUCUGUUAGUAUUUAUAUUUUAAAUAGCAGCCCUCAGUGAGGGUUUUGUUUUCCCCUUAACUAUCUUUUCUGUUUUUUUCAAAGAAAAGUUAGAAGGGAUUUGUAGUAGUCUUUUGCUGCAUUAACUUCUGUUUUCUAGGAUGAAUCAAUUCCGUUCCACCGACUAUAAAUCCCCUGAUAUAUUUCCUUCUGGUUUUGAGUAAUGCAUAUUUCUGUAGUCCUUAUCCUCACCAGUCACCUGGCUUAUCUUCCACUUCCAUGGAGAGUGUUGACCAAGCUAUGCCGAAAUUUAAGGUAAGAUAUUGCUUAAUCAUUGUUUAAAUGCUUCUGCCAUUCUUUUCAUGAUGUUACAUUACAGUUAAUAAGAAUUGUUUAAUAUGUGAAUCAGGAAG
rnacentral:lncRNA from 1 species